UUUUUUCUCGUUUAGGCCUAGACUCUGGGUCAGCAAAUUGACGAGGGUACAAUUUGCACACAUGUAAUGUGAUCCAAAGGAUUGCGUGGAACAUAUUGUUACUGAUAUAUCACAAGUUCAGAAUACCUGUUUGGACGAACACUGCUAUUAUCUCCAUCGAUAGCCCAGUCAAGCACACCAGAUGCAUAAGCAUCAAGGCCAACUUCAGCAACAGUCCUGUCACACGCACCAAUAAAACGGAGUCAUCUGAAAAAUAUGCUUGAUGGCAUGCUCCAACAAGACUCUUCAACCACUCAAAGAAGCCUUACGGCCAAAUACACACCCUUGAAACCUGAUAUGUUAGUAUUAGAGAUGCCUCGACAGUUAGAUGACAAGAACUUAAUAUACCCAAAAGGAAAUCUAGACAUACCGUUAAUUUUGUCUUAAAAUAUGCCAAGACAUCAAGAAUCACAUCUGACGGUAGAAAUGUAGUCCAAUUUUUUUAUCACUCCAUACAAAUCCAUGCCAUACAAG
rnacentral:lncRNA from 1 species